GGCUUGGAGAAUGAGUUUGCAAAUGUUGUAAUGCAUCAGCUUGAAGGUAAAACAAAUUAUAACAAUUCAAAGUUUCAUUGUAUUAUUUCACCUGACGACGAAACUGCAUAGCUAAUUACAAGUGUUUCAGUCAGGGUUUAAUGAUAGAUAUACGCCCAAAUAGUCCAAUCCUAGGGGUUCUUUUGAGCUCCUAGAUCCAAUAUAUUCUGCCCUUGAAGUUUUUGUGGUUAUGCUGACGCCAACAUGAUUAUUUUGGCUGAACGCGGAACCUGAAGUCUACAUGCCUUGAUACAUUUCAUUUUGAUGGCAUCUACCGAAGCUAUCGCUCAACCGGCGGAUCUAGCGCGGGUGUCCGCCGCCUCCUUUUAUCAACACGUGGCCUACCUCCGACGUGCUCGCAGUGAAUGAUGGUGGUGUUUUUGUUUUGCAACAUCUACUCUGUUGCAAGAAAUAUUUCUGCAACAUCAGUUAUGUUACAUAAGUUUCUUCCAUAACACCAUAUAGAGGUGAAGACAGAGAAAAAAAAAUUCUGCAACAUCAUCUUAGUUGCAAAGUUUUUCUGCAACAUUACCUUUGUUGCAAAAAAAAGUGAAGAUGGAAAAAAAUUUGCAACACGACCUAUGUUGCAAAAAAUAAAUCCCGCAACACGAUCGAUGCUGGAAAAAAAUCAUCAACACAAUUUUUGUUACAAGAGUUUCCGCAACAAGACCAUUGUUGCAAAGAAGAAAAAGACAUUCAGCCACUCGAUUUUGU
rnacentral:lncRNA from 1 species